UUUUUUUUUUAAAUUUUUAUUUAGUCACAACUUGUCGUUGCUAACUGAUUAAAGUAUAGUAUGAAAAGUCGAAUGUUGAUGUUGAAUUCAACAGGCCAUAACAUCAACUUCUCUAUCUGAACAGUGGGAUUUAUUGAUUUACAUUUGCAAAAACGGGCUAAAGAAUGUCCGCAAGACCGCAACUAACAUAGCAAUAUUACAUCCGCAAGCCCGCAACUAACAUAAGUAUGUCAUGCAAUCCUUGUCUACUUGAAACUUGUACAGUAGUUUCCUUAGCUUCAUUAUAAAGAAGCUAUAAACUGCAUAUGUAGAGGUUCUUCAAACUCUUGAGUACAGAAGCAAUGUAACUAUUAUAACCUGGAUAUUUUUAGCAUUUGUCAUUUGGAAGCAACAUUGUUCAUGUUGAUAUGGGCCGGACUCUUUGGCCCAUAAAACUUCAAGAAGGAAUUUUAUUGCUAAAGUCGGUAUUUUUUACCCUCGCCGCCGGUAAAGCGUGACUCAAAAGUCACUGUUAUUGUUUUAUUGUUUCCUUUUCGUAAUUUUCCUUUUUUUUUUUGUUGUUGAUAAUAUUGUUAAAGUCGGUUUUGGGGUUUUUCCUUAUUAGAAACAUAUUUUUAAUAGGAAAAGGGUGUUGAAUUUUUGCUAUAUAAACGUGACCUUGGUGUUGUUUGAGCUCACAACUUUCUUUAAUUGAAUACAAAAUCAAAGAGCUUUUCAACUUUUAAACAGAGAUCGAUUAGGGUAUAGAUUAUGGCUGCGAAUCCUGGCCGUGGAGACCGUGGGAGAGGUGGUAGGGGAGUGGAUGACAGACAAGUUGGUCUUCAAGACGACCAAAGGGGUCGAGCCCAUCGCGAAUUUCGAAGAUAUGGGUAUCAAAGAGAAUGUUCUUCGUGGUUUAUACGAGUACGGUUACGAGAAGCCCUCCGCCAUUCAGCAGAGGGCGAUCAUGCCGAUUCUCCAAGGGAGAGAUGUCAUUGCUCAAGCUCAGUCCGGUACGGGAAAGACCUCUAUGAUUGCUCUCUCUGUCUGCCAAGUCGUUGACACUUCGUCUAGAGAGGUUCAGGCCUUGAUAUUAUCCCCAACAAGAGAGCUGGCUUCACAAACAGAGAUGACGAUACAAGCUAUUGGAUCACACGGCAAUGUCCAGGCACAUGCAUGCAUUGGUGGGAAGAGCGUUGGAGAAGACAUCAGGAAGCUGGAGCAUGGUGUCCAUGUUGUGUCCGGAACACCUGGUCGUGUCUGUGACAUGAUAAAGAGGAGAAGUCUACGCACCAGAGCUAUUAAACUUCUGAUUCUUGAUGAAUCAGAUGAAAUGCUAAGCAGAGGAUUCAAGGACCAAAUCUAUGAUGUUUACAGAUAUCUUCCACCCGAUAUUCAGGUUUGCUUGGUUUCUGCAACUCUACCUCACGAGAUUUUGGAGAUGACAACCAAGUUUAUGACGGAUCCGGUGAAGAUACUUGUGAAGCGUGAUGAGUUGGCUCUUGAGGGAAUAAAAAACUUUUUUAUUUCUGUUGAGAAAGAGGAGUGGAAGUUUGAGACACUAUGUGAUCUUUAUGACACACUUACCAUCACUCAAGCUGUUAUCUUCUGCAACACAAAACGAAAAGUGGACUUUCUUAGUGAGAAAAUGAGGAGCAGCAACUUCACUGUCUCAUCAAUGCAUGGGGACAUGCCUCAGAAGGAGAGAGACGAGAUCAUGAAUCAGUUUCGGACAGGUGAGAGUCGCGUUUUGAUCACAACAGAUGUAUUUGCACGCGGGAUUGAUGUUCAUCAAGUUUCUCUUGUCAUCAAUUAUGAUCUCCCAACAACCGUGAGCUCUACAUCCAUCGUAUUGGACGGUCUGGUCGUUUCGGACGUAAGGGUGUUGCAAUCAACUUUGUUAAAAACGACGAUAUCAAGAUUCUCCGGGACAUUGAGCAGUACUACAGUACUCAGAUUGACGAGAUGCCAAUGAAUGUAGCUGAUCUUAUCUAAAACACUUCUGUCUUCUCUGAAUGUAAUUUAGAAAAAAUAAAAUAAAACCAAAGUGAUAUUCCUUACAUCGGUGAAUGAAUGGUUCAAUGUUCACAUAAGCAAGAUUCAUAUCCAUCAAAUAGUAGUAGCAAGAACAUGCACUAGUUUAUAUAGGCCACUGGUUGUAGACGCAAUGUCCAACCACCCUAGUAUCCCACAAAUAUCUCCUUCUUGGCUUUUCUCAAUCGCAAUUUCCGCACACCGAAUUAUCGUCUCUUGAUGGUUGUUAACAAACACAUACUCUUCCCACAAAAGUACCAUUUUUCCACCAUAAUCGCCAAUUUAAGACGAUUAGAACGUGAUAAAGUGCUAGGUAAUCUUUCCAAACCCUUCAAAGUUGUCCAUGAUCUUUCUUUGGAGUCAUACCAAUCGAUCCUCCUUUUAUUAUAACGGUAGAAAACAUUCUCUAUCACAAAAUGAUAUAGAUAAGGAAGAUUCAAUCCAUGAUUCAUUAUCGCCAAGUCUGCCUUUCGCCAUCUACCUUUAUGCAGCUUGUAAGUCACAUUCUUCGCCUCAAACCUCACAUAGACAGUUCUCUCAUACUCUACGAUUUUGUACUCUGAGCCUCCAUAUAUCUCCUCGCUA